AGGUAAUAGAUACCCUGGUAGUCCACGCCGUAAACGAUGAGUGCUAAGUGUUAGGGGGUUUCCGCCCCUUAGUGCUGCAGCUAAACGCAUUAAGCACUCCGCCUGGGGAGUACGGUCGCAAGACUGAAACUCAAAGGAAUUGACGGGGGCCCGCACAAGCGGUGGAGCAUGUGGUUUAAUUCGAAGCAACGCGAAGAACCUUACCAGGUCUUGACAUCCCGUUGACCACUGUAGAGAUAUGGUUUUCCCUUCGGGGACAACGGUGACAGGUGGUGCAUGGUUGUCGUCAGCUCGUGUCGUGAGAUGUUGGGUUAAGUCCCGCAACGAGCGCAACCCUUGAUCUUAGUUGCCAUCAUUUAGUUGGGCACUCUAAGGUGACUGCCGGUGACAAACCGGAGGAAGGUGGGGAUGACGUCAAAUCAUCAUGCCCCUUAUGACCUGGGCUACACACGUGCUACAAUGGACGAUACAAACGGUUGCCAACUCGCGAGAGGGAGCUGAUCCGAUAAAGUCGUUCUCAGUUCGGAUUGUAGGCUGCAAC
rnacentral:rRNA from 1 species